rnacentral:tRNA from 1 species
GCCGCGGUGGUGAAAUCGGUAUACACGCAAGACUUAAAAUCUUGUUCUGGCAACAGAGUGUGGGUUCGACCCCCACCCGCGGCA